rnacentral:rRNA from 1 species
GGUUGAGAGCUUGCUCUCAAGAAGUUAGCGGCGGACGGGUGAGUAACACGUGGGUAACCUGCCCAUAAGACUGGGAUAACUCCGGGAAACCGGGGCUAAUACCGGAUAAUAUUUUGAACUGCAUGGUUCGAAAUUGAAAGGCGGCUUCGGCUGUCACUUAUGGAUGGACCCGCGUCGCAUUAGCUAGUUGGUGAGGUAACGGCUCACCAAGGCAACGAUGCGUAGCCGACCUGAGAGGGUGAUCGGCCACACUGGGACUGAGACACGGCCCAGACUCCUACGGGAGGCAGCAGUAGGGAAUCUUCCGCAAUGGACGAAAGUCUGACGGAGCAACGCCGCGUGAGUGAUGAAGGCUUUCGGGUCGUAAAACUCUGUUGUUAGGGAAGAACAAGUGCUAGUUGAAUAAGCUGGCACCUUGACGGUACCUAACCAGAAAGCCACGGCUAACUACGUGCCAGCAGCCGCGGUAAUACGUAGGUGGCAAGCGUUAUCCGGAAUUAUUGGGCGUAAAGCGCGCGCAGGUGGUUUCUUAAGUCUGAUGUGAAAGCCCACGGCUCAACCGUGGAGGGUCAUUGGAAACUGGGAGACUUGAGUGCAGAAGAGGAAAGUGGAAUUCCAUGUGUAGCGGUGAAAUGCGUAGAGAUAUGGAGGAACACCAGUGGCGAAGGCGACUUUCUGGUCUG